rnacentral:rRNA from 1 species
AUGGAUCAUAGCCUCUCCAUAGUGUUUUGGAACGUGCGCGGGCUCAAUAGCCGCGCCAAACGCACGACCGUGCGCUCUGUUGUCUCCUCGGCCGACCCUUGUAUCGUGUGUUUGUGAGAAACUAAGCUGAAUUCCGCCUCGUCGUUGCUUGUCUUGGAGACGUUGGGCACUCCCUUUGCCGACUUUUACUUUCUUCCAGCCGCGGGUACUCGUGGUGGUAUUCUCCUGGCAUGGCGUAGCGAUCGCAUCUCCCUCGCCAACCCCAUCCUUGGGGCCUUUCAUGUAUCUGCCACCGUUUCCACUGCCAUUGAUGCAACCCCCUGGUGGUUCACCGGGGUCUACGGGCCCCAAGGCACCACCGAGAAGCUGGCCUUCAUGACCGAGCUCCACGAUCUACGUGACAUGAUUGCCGGCCCUUGGUUCCUGGGCGGCGACUUCAACAUGAUUACUUCCUGCGCGGACAAGAACAAUGGCAACCUCAACCCGCGCACCAUGAGCCAAUUUCGUCGCUUCAUCGCAGACCACGCCCUGCGGGACAUCAACCUCCACGGCAGGAGAUACACCUGGUCCAAUGAGCAAAGCAACCCAAUGCUUGUCAGGAACGACCGCGUGCUUUGCACCCCAUCCUGGGCGACCACCAACCCCCAUCACAUGCUGUGA